UCCAGUGUACUUUAAUUUUUUUUUUAUAUCCUCAUUUCAAAUUUAGUCAUUUCAAAUACUCAUUCAAAAUAAAACAUUUUAAAAAUGUAUGUAUGUAUGUAUAAAGUAAGGGUGUAAUCCUAUGAUCUUGCCAUUAUAAGUAAAUCAUGUUCUUGCCUGAGUGUGUUAAUGUUACUAGUUCAAGCAUUUAGAUAUGUGUUCAUCCAGUUGAAUAAUAUGCUGUACAUAUAUUUCUAUUCAGUUGUCUCAUUGUUGCACAAAUUGAAGAACAUAACUAUGGAGGAACUUUCAAUAUGAAUCUCUCUGAAGUUUAGGGUUUUUUGUUUUUGUUUUAUUUUUCAAAGAAAAGUCAAAUGUUAGCUAUAAAAACAAAAUCACCUCACAUAUUCCUUAGCUCUAUUGGUUUUAAAUAUGUAUUGGUUUUUGCUGCUGUUUUUGUAUUUUGUUUAUGUAGCUUCUUCCAUUUUUAACAACCCUUAUUUUUACAUUAUAUUCUUAACAAGAGUGGUAUUUGUUCUAAUGCAAAGUUGUACUAUUAUUACUAUAAAUUCAGGAUUGAUGAGUAAGAAACAAACAGUAGAUUUUGGUUGUUACUAUUACCCAGAAAAAAAAAAAGCAUGAUAACAAAUGUUUGUCAACUUUUAAAUUACAUACUGGAGGGGGGGGGGGAAGACAAAAAUAGAAUGUCUUCAAGUUAGUCCUGCUAGUGUAAUAGCAUAUUUCAUGAUUUGUCAGGGUUUGUUGUUCUAUUUUUUUUUUUUUAGUUUAGUUUCCAUUUUUUUUUUGUUGUUGCUUAUAUGAAGCCCAAAUAAUAUGUCAGUUUUUGUAUCAAUAUUUUGAAAUUGUGGUGCAGGACUUAGAAUUAUCAAGUUGAUAUAUAUAUUAUGGGGCUGAUGAGCAAAUAAGUGAAUGCAUUCAUUUGUGAUGUUCCCACAUUUAAAAAAAAUCUAAUCUAUCUUAGCCAUAGAUUACAUCAAUACAUGGAUAUUCAGAAUUAUUUUUUUUGUAGUUCAUGUAAUGUAAUGUAUAAUUAUGCAUGUUUAUUUGCAUCUAUUUUCUCAAACAAAUAAGCAUUUAUAUUUCUCCUACUGAUUUUUUAAUAUUAUUUCUUAUUGUCCACAAACUGGUCUAUUUUAUAAAUGAAUAUACUUUACAAGCAGAGUUUAUUAGCUGUAUAUACACCUAGUAAAUCAACCAACUUGGUAAGAAAGGAUAUAUGCAGAGGGUGUAUUCUGAGAAAGCUGAAUAUCCAUGUAUUUAUGGGAUCUUUGCAGUCUGAUCAUUUCAACACAAAACAUUGUCAAACCCAACACACAUGUGAAUCCUCACAAGUUGAUUUCUUUGUUAACUCAGUGGCCUAACACUCUUUAAUACUCAUAUUAUGAUAGUCUAAUAAUAUUUCUAUAUUUUAUGUAACCUUUUUUUCCUUUUCAAAAUAAGGUGCUUUACACAAUGGUAUUUUAAAAAUAUAUUGAAAUGCAUGUGGUAAACUAUUGACCCUGUGGUGAGGCUUUGGCCUAUACCAUGUUUCUGGAAGAUGAAAUUCUCUGAUUGUACAUGUACUUAUGUCAUUGUAGUCAUCUCUACCUCUCCAUGUGGACGUAAAAGUGGAGGGAGAACAGUUUAUAAUUUAUUUUUAAAAUCUCACGUCUAAUAGACUUUUAAAAAUGUGAUUGUACAAUGGUGUAGAGACCCUGAUGAUAAGGGCUCACUGUCAGCCUUCACCAGCAAUAUUUGAUAUUUUUUAGUCCUGUCCUUCCUUUAUCAAUGUUUUUAGUCACUGACAAAAUGUCUGGAUUUGUAUUCCAUAGUCAUUUACUUAAUUCAUCUAAUAAAAAAACAUGUCUUUACUUAA
rnacentral:sRNA from 1 species